GAGCGAGGUGGCGCAGUGGUAACUCACUGGCCUCGUAUUCUGGAGGACCCGGUUCGAUUCGCGGUUCGGUCA